rnacentral:rRNA from 1 species
CUAUUUAGGUAGCGCCUCGUGUCUAACUCGGGGGGGUAGAGCACUGUUUCGGCUAGGGGGCCAUCCCGGCUUACCAAACCGAUGCAAACUCCGAAUACCGAGAAGUUCAAUCACGGGAGACACACGGCGGGUGCUAACGUCCGUCGUGGAGAGGGAAACAACCCUGACCUACAGCUAAGGCCCCUAAUUCGUGGCUAAGUGGGAAAGCAGGUGGGACGACCAAAACAACCAGGAGGUUGGCUUAGAAGCAGCCAUCCUUUAAAGAAAGCGUAACAGCUCACUGGUCUAAAUAAGGGUUUCUGCGCCGAAAAUGUAACGGGGCUAAAGCCAUGCACCGAAACUGCGAGGUUCUUUUGAACCGGUAGCGGAGCGUUCUGUAAGCUGAUGAAGGGUAACCGCGAGGAAGCCUGGAGGUAUCAGAAGUGAGAAUGCUGACAUGAGUAACGACAAAGAGUGUGAGAAACACUCUCGCCGAAAGUCCAAGGGUUCCUGUGCAAUGCUAAUCAGCGCAGGGUUAGCCGGCCCCUAAGUCGAGGCAGAAAUGCGUAGACGAUGGGAAUCACGUUAAUAUUCGUGAGCCAGAAGAUGGUGACGGAUUAACAGGUCUGUACAUCCUUAUCGGAUUGGGUGUGCAGUGAGUUAGUCCCAGGAAAUAGCCUCUUCAUUAGACCGUACUCUAAACCGACACAGGUGGACAGGUAGAGAAUACUAAGGCGCUUGAGAGAACUACGUUGAAGGAACUCGGCAAAAUGCCCCCGUAAGUUCGCGAGAAGGGGGCCCAAUAUGAAGGCAACUUUAUAUUGGGGGCACAGACCAGGGGGUGGCGACUGUUUACUAAAAACACAGGGCUCUGCGAAGCCGCAAGGCGACGUAUAGGGUCUGACGCCUGCCCGGUGCUGGAAGGUUAAGAGGAGAGGUGCAAGCUGCGAAUCGAAGCCCCAGUAAACGGCGGCCGUAACUAUAACGGUCCUAAGGUAGCGAAAUUCCUUGUCGGGUAAGUUCCGACCUGCACGAAUGGCGUAACGAUGGCCACACUGUCUCCACCCGGGACUCAGUGAAAUUGAAAUCGCUGUUAAGAUGCAGUGUACCCGCGGCUAGACGGAAAGACCCCGUGAACCUUUACUAUAGCUUGACACUGAACUCUGAGCCUACUUGUGUAGGAUAGCUGGGAGGCUUUGAAGCAGUGACGCCAGUCAUUGUGGAGCCAAUCUUGAAAUACCAGCCUGGUAUGUUUGAUGUUCUAACUUAGGCCCGUUAUCCGGGUUGAGGACAGUGUAUGGUGGGUAGUUUGACUGGGGCGGUCUCCUCCCAAAGAGUAACGGAGGCGCCCAAAGGUUCCCUCAGACUGGUCGGCCAUCAGUCGUUGAGUGCAAUGGCACAAGGGAGCUUGACUGCGAGACCUACAAGUCGAGCAGGUACGAAAGUAGGUCUUAGUGAUCCGGUGGUUCUGUAUGGAAGGGCCAUCGCUCAACGGAUAAAAGGUACUCCGGGGAUAACAGGCUGAUCUUCCCCAAGAGUUCAUAUCGACGGGAAGGUUUGGCACCUCGAUGUCGGCUCAUCGCAUCCUGGGGCUG